UACGGGGGGGGCAAGCGUUGUUCGGAAUUACUGGGCGUAAAGGGCCAGUAGGCGGCCAACUAAGUCCGACGUGAAAUCCCCAGGCUUAACCUGGGAACUGCGUCGGAUACUGGAUGGCUUGAAUUCGGGAGAGGGAUGCAGAAUUCCAGGUGUAGCGGUGAAAUGCGUAGAUAUCGGAAGGAACAUCAGUGGCGAAAGCGGCUUCCUGGACCAGUACCGACGUUCAGGCACGAAAGCGUGGGGAGCAAACAGG
rnacentral:rRNA from 1 species